UGGAAAUGAUGAAAUAGAGGUUAUUGAUGAUAGUGUAGGGGGGGUGUGAGAGAGAGGAUGACAAAUAGUUUUCUAAUUGUGUGUUUGUGUUUGUGUGUGUGUUUAGAGGGUCAUAUAAUGGUGCAGACUGUGGGCACUGACAAAGAAAACUGCUGAUUUCGGAGUGCAUCUGAGGCACAUUUGCUAACUCAUGGGGUCUUUGCUGCAAUGUUGCCAAUGAUUAGAGCCCAAUAUGAGCUCAUAGUUUGCACCUAGACAUCUUAAACCUCUAACAGGUUCAUUUUGUCAUAAAAGGAACUUGUGAUCUGAUCAAA